rnacentral:rRNA from 1 species
UACAGAGGUCUCAAGCGUUGUUCGGAUUCAUUGGGCGUAAAGGGUGCGUAGGUGGCGCCGUAAGUCGGGUGUGAAAUUUCGGAGCUUAACUCCGAAACUGCAUUCGAUACUGGCGACCUUGAGUCCGGGAGAGGUGAGUGGAACUCCGAGUGUAGAGGUGAAAUCGUAGAUAUUCGGAAGAACACCAGUGGCGAAGGCGGCUCACUGGCCCCGGUACUGACGCUGAGGGUGCGAAAAG